rnacentral:tRNA from 1 species
AGAGACAAUGGCAAACAAUUAAAAACAUGCCAAUUUUAUGACUCAUAAUCGCUUGGUCGCUGGUUCAAACCCAGCAGGGGCCACCA